CAGCCGCGGUAAUUCAGAGGGUGCAAGCGUUAAUCGGAAUUACUGGGCGUAAAGCGUGCGUAGACGGUUAUUUAAGUCAGGUGUGAAAGCCCCGGGCUCAACCUGGGAAUUGCAUUUGAGACUGAAUAGCUAGGGUGCGGAAGAGGGAAGCGGAAUUUCCGGUGUAGCGGUGAAAUGCGUAGAUAUCGGAAGGAACACCAGUGGCGAAAGCGGCUUCCUGGUCCAGCACCGACGUUCAGGCACGAAAGCGUGGGGAGCAAACAGGAUUAGAUACCCUGGUAGUCCACGCCAUAAACGAUGAGAACUAGACGUUGAGAGGGUAAGCCCCCCAGUGUCGCAGCUAACGCGAUAAGUUCUCCGCCUGGGGAGUACGGCCGCAAGGUUGAAACUCAAAUGAAUUGACGG
rnacentral:rRNA from 1 species